rnacentral:tRNA from 1 species
GGCGGGUAACGAGAAUCGAACUCGUAUCUUUUCCUUGGCAAGGAAACAUUCUACCACUGAACCAUACCCGC